rnacentral:rRNA from 1 species
UACGGGGGGGGCAAGCGUUGUUCGGAAUUACUGGGCGUAAAGGGCUCGUAGGUGGCCAACUAAGUCAGACGUGAAAUCCCUCGGCUUAACCGGGGAACUGCGUCUGAUACUGGUUGGCUUGAGUGUGGGAGAGGGAUGCGGAAUUCCAGGUGUAGCGGUGAAAUGCGUAGAUAUCGGGAGGAACACCGGUGGCGAAGGCGGCGACCUGGGUAGAUACUGACGCUGAGGCGCGAAAGCGUGGGGAGCAAACAGGG